UACAGAGGUCUCAAGCGUUGUUCGGAUUCAUUGGGCGUAAAGGGUGCGUAGGCGGCGCGGUAAGUCGGGUGUGAAAUCUCGGAGCUUAACUCCGAAACUGCAUUCGAUACUGCGGUGCUUGAGGACUGGAGAGGAGACUGGAAUUCAUGGUGUAGCAGUGAAAUGCGUAGAGAUCCGGAGGAACACCGAAGGCGAAGGCAGUGUCCUGGCGAGUGACUGACGCUGAGGUGCGAAAGCCAGGGGAGCGAACGGGA
rnacentral:rRNA from 1 species